rnacentral:tRNA from 1 species
UCCUCGAUAGCUCAAUCGGUGGAGCGGGUGACUGUUAAUCACUAGGCUGGCGGUUCAAGUCCGUCUCGAGGAGCCA